UUCCGAGGGGCUCCUCCGCCUCCUGCUGCUGCUGCUCCUCCUCUCGCAUCGCCCCCUGUCCUUCCUGGCGAGCUCGACCUCUUUCCCCUGCAGGGGGCCGAGGCGCCUUCCGACCGAGAGCGGGGCUGCUGCCUAGCGGCAAAGCAGCGGCCUCACCUUCCUCCUCCUCCUCCACCCGGUCUCUCCUCCCGCUGAGCAGACGCAGCUCUCAUCUGAGCCACAGGAGUUUCUUAGGACACAUGGUCCUGACUGGCAUCCAUCUUCAAGGUUUGGUCUGACGCCAGCUCCUGAUGAGGAGAAGAGGGCGCAUGGGCAUGGGCAGAGUGCAGUGCUUAUCUAUGCACUUCCAGCCCCUCAUUUAUGCAGAACUUUCAGUUAUGCAGAAGUUUCAUACACUGAUGGACUCCAAAGGAUUUCCAUUCAGCUCUAAUUUGCGCAGGUUGGUCCAUACACCCAGCACAAACUCCAAGUCCUGCAAAUACCAAAGAAAAGAAAAUCAAUACUUUUGCUAACUUAGCUCAGUGCUGCCACCCUGAUAUCUCUACAGACAAAGGGAGAGUUAUAAAUAUGUCAACAAGGCAGCUUUCCUUCCCACCAGCUCCCCCUCCAUAGGCAGCUUCACAAGCUUCUUCUGAGAGUCAGGGACUCUCCUGAAUGAGGGCUCCAUGGAACAAUCACAGAGUUUUCUACAAGCAAAUCUAUUUUGUAAAAGGUGAAAGAUUUAUAAAAUCUGAAGAGAAAUCUGAGUAUGCAAAUCUAUUUAGAAUUACCUGGAAACAACCCAAACAAAAUGAAAAUAUUUUAAA